rnacentral:rRNA from 1 species
CCCUUAGAUGUCCUGGGCUGCACGCGCGCUACACUGAUGUGUCCAGUAAGCAACUAACCUCUUCCGAAAGGAACGGGUAACCUUUGCAAAGCACAUCGUGAUGGGGAUAGAUUAUUGCAAUUAUUAGUCUUGAACGAGGAAUUCCUAGUAAGCACAAGUCAUCAGCUUGUGUUGAUUACGUCCCUGCCCUUUGUACACACCGCCCGUCGCUCCUACCGAUUGAAUGUUCCGGUGAGCUCUUCGGACUGCGCGGUCUGCAGUUUCUGCGUUCCGUGCGGAAAGUUGCGCAAACCUUAACAUUUAGAGGAAGGAGAAGUCGUAACA